CUCUCUAUUUUCAAGAUGUAGAAGUAGAAUACCUUGGUGGUGAGUUAGGGAGAGAUGCUCAGGUUCUGUAAGAGUCCUUGAAGGUCUAGUAUAUCCUUGUAUCAUUCCUUUUUAAGACUAAAGUAUUAAUAGAUUUAUCUUCUUUAAUUACUUGAAUGUCUUUUAUGGUUAUCUAAUUCCUACCUUAGUGUUUACCUAAGCGUGGUUUGUAUAGUUGUUCUACAUCAAAGCAUAGGAUCUCCGCUGGCAUUGAGUGCUCUAGUUAUAGAUCAUGACUAGAGUAGUAAUCGAUAGGCUAGACAUGGUGUCCAGCCUAUAAGUUACCAAAGAUUGCACCCAACCCCAUCGAUAGUUAUGGUAGCCCUAGAUGGUGGUGGUAGCCUUGAUGGCCAAUGUAGUCAACCAUGAUUGGGUUGAUGUUUAUAGCAACGUAGUCGGAGCUUCCUAUAGCCCCUUUCUCAUUCCUGUCUGUGGCUUGUGUUCUAAUGUCCGGAAGUGUGGUGUGAUCGUUAUGUUUUAAUCUUUGCUUAGUUAUUCACUCUUGCCUAUACUAAAAUAGAACCACAGAAAUAGAAAAUUGUAUAGGAACCUUGUACUCACCUGUUGUCCUCUCAACUUAGCUUGUCUAUUCUUCUGUCUUACCAUGAGUUCUUUUGUGUGUCAUUAUCCAUAACUCCUAUCAUAUAUUACUUAUCCUCACUUUAGCC
rnacentral:lncRNA from 1 species